CCCUUAGAUGUUCUGGGCUGCACGCGCGCUACACUGAUGCGCUCAACGAGUUUAUAACCUUGUCCGGCAGGAUUGGGUAAUCUUUUUAAAACGCAUCGUGAUGGGGAUAGAUUAUUGCAAUUAUUAAUCUUCAACGAGGAAUUCCUAGUAGGCGCGAGUCAUCAGCUCGUGCUGAUUACGUCCCUGCCCUUUGUACACACCGCCCGUCGCUCCUACCGAUUGAGUGGUCCGGUGAGGCUUUGGGAUCUGAGCGGAAAGAGCGUUUCGCUGUUUCUGCUCGGAAAACUCAGUCGAACCUUAUCAUUUAGAGGAAGGAGAAGUCGUAACA
rnacentral:rRNA from 1 species